rnacentral:lncRNA from 1 species
GCUCAUGGCAACCCUGGAUCCUUAACCCCCUGAUCGAGGCCAGGGAUCGAACCCCCACCCUCAUGGAUCCUAGUCAGGUUCCUUACCUCUGAGCCACAACAGGAACUCCCAGCAUCCGCCCUUUUUUAAAUCUCCAUAUUUUGUAGCCUGAGAUUGAUGGCUAGCAUCAAAAAAAGAGGCAACUGUAAACAAUAUGAAUGCUUUCCUAGAGUUUUUUGACGAUUGAUUCAACAAUAUUUAUAUCAAAAAGGUAUCAAAGUGAUGCACAUGGGUAGAAAUCUCACAGAAAAGCCUUUAAUGGAAAGCAGCCUCCCUCCUCUCCCCUUCCCACUUUCAGUCCUGCUGCCUAGAGGCAAACACUUACACCAGUUUUUGGUUUCUUGAUUUUUCCAGUCUGUGUUUUCUGGGAUCUCUCCUUGUCCUGUCUUCUACCCUAUAGGAUAGAGAAUACAGUUCUUCAAGGGAGCAGGAACCCGUGUGACUUGACAUGAUGUGAAGUCACAUAAGGUUCAUUAUCUCUGUGAAGGAUGCUUAGUCACAUAGUGGUCGCUGUAUUUGUGCAGAGGUGCAUGGUACCAGAUUUAUUGGCAUAAUGAGUUUAAAAAGUCUAAAUUAAAGAAAGUUGGGGGGCUCUUCGUCGUGGCUCAGUGGAAAUGACUCUGACUAGUAUCCAUCCAUGAGGACCCACGUUUGAUCCCUGGCCUUGCUCAGUGAGAUAAGAAUCUGGCCUUGCCAUGAGCUGUGGUGUAGGUCGAAGAUGUGGCUCGGAUCUGAUGUGGUUGUGACUGUGGUGUAGGCUGGCACUUACAGCUCCAAUUAGACCCCUAGCCUGGAAACCUCCAUAUGCCAAGGGUGCGACCCUAGAAAGGAAAAAAAAAAAAAAGUUGGUUUUUGUCUGUGUUUAGAGAGCAAUCCUAUAAACAGUGAAACUAGAAAGUAUUAUAAUAAAAGUAUAAAAAGAAGGUGUUGGAGUUCCCGUCGUGGCGCAUGGUUAACGAAUCCGACUAGGAACCACGAGGUUGAGGGUUCGAUCCCUGGCCUCGCUCAGCGGGUUAAGGAUCCGUGAGCUGUGGUGUAGGUCGCAGAUGCCACUCAGAGCCAGCAUUGCUGUGGCUGUGGCGCAGGCCAGCAGCUGUAGCUUGGAUUCAGCCCCUGGCCUGGGAACCUCCAUAUGCCUCAGGUGUGGCACACACACACACAAAAAAAAAAAAAAAAAAAAAAAAAAAGAAAAGAAAAAUAGAGCAUGUUUAUUAAGACAGAAAUCCCCACUCUGCCCUCCUCUGCAUCUACUCUACAUUGUUUGUUUCUCCUUAAAAAUAGCUAUUAUCUUGAUUUUGGUGAUAAUGUUUGCUUUAUAGUUGUAAGCCUUUGGACUUUGUUUAAACGGAUCAUACCAUGUAUAUGCUAUAGGGACCUGCUGCUUUCGUUUAACUCUGAGAUUUCUCUGAAUUAAUUUUAAUUGCAGUAUAGUAGUUCAUCGUCAGUCCAUAUACCAGAACGCAUUUAGUCUCUCUUGUUGAUGGCGGUAGAUUAUUUCCAGUUUGGGAACACUUUUGCACAUGAUUCUUGGAACAUAUGUGCAAAGAAUUCUCUGUUGUAUCAUCAAACGGAGGUGUGUGAAGAGGUUACAAAGCGUAUGGAGAGAAUGAAUAGUCUAAGAUAAUUUAGAGUGUUUCAUUAUCUUUCUGGGCAACAGAUGCCUGCCAUUGAUGCCUUCUUAACCCAUUGGGCAUCUUACUAUGGUGUUUUUUGUCCUGGGGGCUCAAAUCCUCCAGGACCCUAAACAAAUGGGCAAUUGAUGCCUUUACAGGAAGUUGCAGGCAUUGGCAUUUUUGACUACCAAACAGUAAGUGCCUCCCAUUUAUUAAUUAGGAGCAAAUGGAAGUAGAAGUCAUAGGAUUUUAUAGUUGGAAGGGUUCUUAUAAGUCAUGCAAUUUAGGCGUCUCUUAGGUUUUUUUAAUAUUCCUUUUCAUUCCAUCUGAUAUAAUUUAUUGAUUCAUUCAGCAGUUAUUUAUUGUCUGUCUUGAGGCUGGUGACUAUAGCAGUGAACCAAACAUAGAAACCUUAUUCAUAAGGUUUCAUAAUUAACUUUCAUUUAAAACUAUAUUAUAAUGUAUAUGAUGAUGAGAGAAAAUUGCAGAUAAAUAUAUUAGUAUUCUCCAAGCCCUCUGUGUGAACUGCUGAGAUGAGGAAAGCGUACUAGAACUUAUCUUUUUUAACAGCUUUAUUUUACCAAGGUGGGGGGGGGAAUAUAUUCCAGAGAGUUUUCUCUCUAUAUUGCUCUUCUCCGAAGAAAGGGCCCAUUUGAAGGGCAUGUAAUAAAUAAUAGCCUGUACUUGAAAAUACCUUGUAUACUGAUAAAUAUAGCCCAUGUAAACAAAAGGUGUUUAUGGUACUCAAUACUUUUCAAGAGUAAAAAGGGAUCUUGUCACUGCAAGAAUGAUGCUCUGUUGCAACUAGUAAUUUAAAUAUCAUUAUUACAGAUAAAUCCUUUUUCCCUAUCUCAGUAUUUUUUAGGAAACUCUGGUUAAGUAUCUUGCCUGAGAUUGAACAAUUUAAUAGAUCAUUGGUACUUUUAGCCUUUGACUUAGUCCUUUUUUAUAACUAGUAAAGCAGAGUUUUAUUGAAGAACAGCCAGUUUGAGGAGAAGUUGAAAAAAAAUCACAAGUAUUCUAGACCAGAACAACUAGAAUAAAAACAGUAGUUUGAAGGUUUAUUUUUCCCAAUGAAGAAAAUCAUAGAUGGUCACCUUGUUUGUGCCCUUCCCAAUUCCUUCUUUAAAAAAAUAGCAAAAUUUACUAAAAUUGCGGAGAAUAUUAAUUAUUAUAUUUAAUUAUAAAAUUAAGCUUGCUGAUAAAGGAAUCCAAAUUAAGUGAAAUAUUCUUUUUUUUGCCCAUAUCAUAUUGACAAAAGUUAAAGUAUUGUGGAUUGAUGACAAUGCCAUUAAAUGUGCACGUACAGGAGUUCCCGUCAUGGCGCAGUGGUUAACGUAUCCGACUAGGAACCAGGAGGUUGCGGGUUCGAUCCCUGCCCUUGCUCAGUGGGUUAAGGAUCCAGCGUAAGCGCUGUAGUGUAGGUUGCAGACGCAGCUUGGAUCCCGUGUUGCUGUGGCUCUGGCAUAGGCCGGUGGCUACAGUUUCAAUUUGACCUCUAGCCUGGGAACCUCCAUGUGCCGCUGAAGUGGCCCUAGAAAAGGCAAAAAGACAAAAAAAAAAAAAAAAAAAAAAAAAG